rnacentral:rRNA from 1 species
ACACGCAUGAAAGUCAAGCUGAAAGACUUUACUCAAUGAUGUAAGUGGUGGUGCAUGGUCGUUCUUAGUUCGUGGAUUGAUUUGUCUGGUCGAUUCCGAUAACGAGCGAGACCCCGGUGUUCCUAAUAGGGGCGGUAGCCCGUCCCGGUCAUUAAGCCGAUCGGGUCAGCUGCCGCCUAAGAUGUACUUCUUAGACACAUCAAGGCCGAUAAGGUCUUUGAAAUGGGUUAAUAACAGGUCAGUCAUGCCCUUAGAUGUUCUGGGCCGCACGCGCGUUACAAUGGCACGUAAAAAGAGUGCUUCUCAAAGGCGUCUCCCGGGCCUAAAGGUCCGGGUAACCCUUAAUCCCUGCUUUGACUGGGAUAGAUCCUUGCAAUUAUUGGUCUCUAACGAGGAAUUUUUAGUAAGCGCAGAUCAUUAAUCUGUGCUGA